AUUGAACGCUGGCGGCAGGCCUAACACAUGCAAGUCGAGCGGAUGAAGGGAGCUUGCUCCUGGAAUCAGCGGCGGACGGGUGAGUAAUGCCUAGGAAUCUGCCUGGUAGUGGGGGAUAACGUCCGGAAACGGGCGCUAAUACCGCAUACGUCCUGAGGGAGAAAGUGGGGGAUCUUCGGACCUCACGCUAUCAGAUGAGCCUAGGUCGGAUUAGCUAGUUGGUGGGGUAAAGGCCUACCAAGGCGACGAUCCGUAACUGGUCUGAGAGGAUGAUCAGUCACACUGGAACUGAGACACGGUCCAGACUCCUACGGGAGGCAGCAGUGGGGAAUAUUGGACUAUGGGCGAAAGCCUGAUCCAGCCAUGCCGCGUGUGUGAAGAAGGUCUGCGGAUUGUAAAGCACUUUAAGUUGGGAGGAAGGGCAGUAAGUUAAGACCUUGCUGUUUGGACGUUACCAACAGAAUAAGCACCGGCUAACUUCGU
rnacentral:rRNA from 1 species